GUGCAUUUGUAGUUCAUAAGCAUGAUGAUUGGGUGUUCAUGCUGUUGCAUGACGUGCAUUCCUCAAACCUUGCCACGAUGACAUUGGCACAUUAUCCAUCUGAUG